CUCUUCCGUAGGGUGAACCUGCGGAAGGAUCAUUA
rnacentral:rRNA from 1 species